rnacentral:rRNA from 1 species
AACGAACGCUGGCGGCAUGCCUAACACAUGCAAGUCGAACGCGUGGCUUCGGCCACGAGUGGCGCACGGGUGAGUAGCGCGUGGGAACCUGCCCUUCGGUACGGAAUAACCUCGGGAAACUGUGGCCAAUACCGUAUACGCCCCAUGGGGGAAAGAUUUAUCGCCGAAGGAGGGGCCCGCGUCCCGAUUAGGUAGUUGGUGAGGUAACGGCUCACCAAGCCUUCGAUCGGUAGCUGGUCUGAGAGGAUGAUCAGCCACACUGGGACUGAGACACGGCCCAGACUCCUACGGGAGGCAGCAGUGGGGAAUAUUGGACAAUGGGGGAAACCUGAUCCAGCAAUGACCGCGUGAGUGAUGA